rnacentral:lncRNA from 1 species
AUAUAAAUAAAGGCAACAGUAGUAUACCGCUGUUCACACUCAUAAAUCCAUGGACAAAAAACAAAAUCGGGGUAACAAACUAAAACUGAGGAAAACGCAUAAAUAUAAGAGGAGAACAACGACACAACACUACAAUGUAACUAACACACACAGAAACGGACCAAGCAUCAGACAAAAUCCCACGAGAAUAACAAAUAUAACAUCAAAACCAAAUACAUGAAUUUGGGAUAGACAAGUACCGUGACACGUCUUAUCGCAAUGUCAAUUUACACUCAAAAAUAAGAGAAAACAAACGACGCAACGUUAAAUUGUAACACACACAGAAACGAACCAUAAUAUAACAAUGGCCAUAUUCCUGACUUGGUACAGGACAUUUUUAAAUAAUAA